UAAACUUUCAUCUUCAUUUUCUCAACGAUAAUUCAUCAUCGUUCAUGAUAUCAAGUUUGUUUAGUCCUCUUUUCUUUCAAAUUCCAGCAAGUGUAACAACGAAUUUGACUCUCCCUCAGCUCUAGCUAGUCUCCAGCAUAUCAGAUUCCAGGGUGAGCUAUUUGUUCAAGCUCAUGUUGGAUUCUAUCGGUUAUGACAUGAUGUCCUAUGUUUUUGGACACAUACAUUUUAUUCUUUUAUUUUGGUGUAUUUGAUACUCUUAGACUUAGUAUUUAGAGUUUAGAUGUUCUUGAUGUGAUGAACGUCAGGUUUUGGGAAACGAUAUUUAAUUAGAUUUUGAGCUUUCACAUUAUUCUUGUAUAAUAUAAUUUAAGUUUAAAUUCGUAGGUUCUCCCACCUAGUUAGUUAAGUGUGGGUGCCACGCACGAUUCGUUUUGGGUCGUGACAUUAUAAUUGUGAAAUAUGAUGGAGAUGUAUGUUUGUCCAUAGUCUUAAUGAACUAUUUGUUGUUUGUUUUCUU